UAGCUAGAUUCACUGGCCAGCUUAAAGGCUGGUGAGACCACUACUUGGAUGACCUAGAUAUGAAUUAGAUUUUAUAUGUGAAAAGGAAGGUUGUAGUGGAAAGACUGUCGUGCACUUGCGUUGACCUGAGGAGACCUAUGAUGGAGCCUCUGCAAGAGUCCAUGGCGAUCCAGACUCUCUAACGGCAGCAAAUACUAUACUCU
rnacentral:lncRNA from 1 species